rnacentral:rRNA from 1 species
UACAGAGGGUGCGAGCGUUUAAUCGGAAUUACUGGGCGUAAAGCGCGCGUAGGCGGCUUUGCAAGCCGGAUGUGAAAUCCCCGGGCUUAACCUGGGAACUGCAUUCGGGACUGCAUUGCUAGAGUAUGGGAGAGGGAAGUGGAAUUUCAGGUGUAGCGGUGAAAUGCGUAGAUAUCUGAAGGAACAUCAGUGGCGAAAGCGACUUCCUGGACCAAUACUGACGCUCAUGUGCGAAAAGCGUGGGGGAGCAAACAGG